rnacentral:ncRNA from 1 species
UUAAAGGCUAUGAAAGAGUUAAGUAGAUUAAAGGAAAUCCUUUUAAGAGAGGAGAUGUCAUCGGCUGUAAGCAUCUCUAAAGACCUUUAGUUAAAAUUUCGCUCUGGAGCUGUAUAACUGAAAUUCAGUAAGUUAUAUCGGUGGAAUGACCGUUAAUUAAAACUAGUGAGUUACAUUAUAAUUUUACGUAACUAAUUAGGGUGGUAUCACGAAAUUUAGCCUAUCUUGUUUCGUCCUAACG